rnacentral:rRNA from 1 species
UUUAAGUGAAGAGUUUGAUCCUGGCUCAGAGUGAACGCUGGCGGUAGGCCUAACACAUGCAAGUCGAACGGCAGCACAGGAGAGCUUGCUCUCUGGGU